rnacentral:lncRNA from 10 species
UUUCCUCCCAUCAGUCAAAAAAAGCCUUUAGGCUCAUAACCAUGAAAUUAUUUCAAAGAUAGGGAAACUAUGCCUGACAUUAUCUAAAUACCAAUGGUGUUAGUUAAUGACAACUUAUCAAGUCCAAAUGUAACAGACUAUUAGUAUAUAUGGAAGUGUGGCAAUAAGGCAUGAAUUAAAUAUAGUUGAUGAUGGAGGCUUAAUAAGAUAUGUAUUUUCUUACAGUUCUGAGAUUUUAUGAUUAUUUGGUUGCCCUUCCAAAUGGUGAGAGUCCAGUGACCCCACUUCAAGCAGUCAAUUCAUGAGUAUUGAUGGGUAUAAAUAAAGGAGGUUAAAAAUCUCUGUGUGUGUGUGCGUGCAUGUGUGUGUGUGUGUGUGUGUGUGUUUACAUUUUAUCAACUUAUCAGCUGUCUCCACCCAGUAUUUGAAGAAAACUGUCAUUUUAAUAAAUACAGGAGGACACAGAUAGGUAAAAAAUGAAAGGAACUUUUAGAAACUCAAAAGGAGCUUUGCUGGAAAAAGACUUUGGGGACAUAAAAGACAACAUAAAAUUAAAUAUCUAUUCUCUUAAUUCAAGUUUUUCUGAUAUGCCAUCUCUAAAGUAUUGCUUCCCACUGAUUUUGUCCCUAGUUGUGCUGCUGUUCCUCUGUCACUCCAGAAAACUUGACCAGCUGAAAGAGCCUUUGCAAAAUUAUGACUGAGACAGUGAAAGAGAUCUAAUCUAACUGACUCUGUCUUUGUUCUAAACUUUAAGCUGUCCUUGUUCCUUCCUGGGCAUAGGCUGGACUAACUUUAGGAGGAUCUCAGUUUAUAGAGUUUAUAGUGUAUGGUUUGAAACAAAUGUAAUAGUAGCCCUUUCCCAAAACAAACCUCCUUCUUUCCUGGGGACUAGACUACCUUUGUAGGACUAACAAAUUAGCCACAAGAUUAGACAAUAUGGUUUAGGAGUCAUGCAGCUGGAAGCUACAAGAUUCUGACCCUCCCUAGACUGCUCCUUAGAUCAGUGCUUGAGAUAUUUGUAGACCCAGCACUUUUGUAUCAGCUGUUGGAUCAGCUGUCACCACCCAGAUGGAUAAACUGGCUCAUCUGAUCUUGUGGCCCCCACCCAGGAAUGGACUCAGCACAAGAGGACAACUUCUACUUCCCAUGAUUUCAUCUCCUGUCUCACUGGCUUCCCCCCACGCACCAACUUGUCCUUAAAACCUCUGAUUCUCAAAUGCUGGGGGAGACUGAUUUGAGUAAUAAUAAAAUUCCUGUCUCCAGCACAGAGGCUCUAUGUGAAUUACUUUUUCUCUACUGUAAUUCCCCUGUCUUGAUAAAUUGGCUCUGUCUAGGUAGUGGGCAAGGUGAACCCACUGGGUGGUUACAAAGUUGGGUGCUCAUCUGGGAUUGCCCUUGAAGCUACCUGCCCAUGGUUCAGUAGAUCCCCUCCAGCGAUGGUUCCAGAGACCAGCCCAAGCACCUGCCUAGUUCUCUUAGACCGGCAGCUGACUCUGGUACUCUCUACUGGUGGGGUGCUACCAACUCAAUGUGCAUGGAUUUAAUUGCAAUAGAGAAAUAGUCCUGAGGAGACAUCCCUUUACUGUAGCCCUAUCACAGGGUGUCUUUCUGUAGCCCCAUGAUGGAGUAUCUGUCUGUAGCCCCACUGCAGGUUGUCUGGAGUGGUGAGUAUCCUAGGCAUUGCCAACACCUGCUUCCUUCUCCAGACUGGUUCUGUAGCCCCACAGUGGGGUAUGUCAGUAGCCCCACUGUGGUGUGUCUGUUUGUAACUCUACCACGGGGUGUCUCUGUUCGGCUCCUUUUAGGGUUCUGUUUGUCUGUAGCUCCAUUGAAGGUUUGUCUGUAGCCCCAUGGAGGGGUGCCUGUUUCAGUUCAGCUCCUUGCGGGUCUCAGUUGGUUCUCCCUAACCAGUAGGAAGAGUCUUGGUUCAGGACGACUCUCAAUCAGGAAGAUGUAGGGGAGAUAUCUCAGGUGGAGAAUAGGAGCAUAGUUUGGAAGGGAUAUUCUUGGAAUUCUUGGUUAAGGAUCUGGGUUGGAAAUCCUUCUGUCCAUCUUGUCUUUGUGUGUGUUCGUAUAUGUGGAGGGGAUCCCUGAAGAAAUUGCUAAUGGAAGUCCAGCAGCCCUAACUCAGAGAACCCUCUUUACGUGUCUGUUCACAUUCGAUGAGCCCUGAAGAUAACUCAACAGACCUGCCUGGGAAAAGAGUGAUUUUCAUUGUAAAGUGGCUUGAACCCCACAGCUAUGGCACAGUGAACAGGGUCAUCAAAAGCUACUCCAUUAUUCCAGAAGCUGGAGAGGAAGGGAACCUGGAAACCUGGUAUGCUGGCAAAUAGGAAAAAAGAGCUCUGUGGUUUAAAUCAGCUUAAUUAAGAAUGGAUAUCCAAGCUAUAUGUAUUUAAGAGGCUCUAACUUUUCCCUCUUCAUGAUUUGUAUUUUUCUGAAAAAUUUUGUUUCUUCACAGUAGAUUCAAUUAUUCUUCUCCAUUUUGUCUUCUUGACAUUCUUGAUGCCCACAAGAGAAAACUUAAGAUAAAUUCUAACAGUCUGGGACUCCUUGGGAAGAACAGAGGAACCACAGACUCCAUUGUGGGAAAAAACUUGGUUUUCCUCACUGAAGCCUGGAAAUUGAAACAGCAAUUGAAAUAGAUCCCUCUCAAAAUCUAAGGCUCUGUUCUGCUUUGCAUUGUGUUAUCUGAUGGUUUUGAAUUUUGGGGGUAUCAAAAAUUACUUUGCAUUAAGGGAGAGCUUUUAGCCUUGUUGUAUAAUAUCUAGGUAAAAAUAUAUACUUCAAGAAAUGGCUAAUGUCAGUUAUGAAGAGAUACUUAGCUCUUUGUAUGCUUGAAUCAGAGAAGCAUGCUGUUGGCCACAUGGAAGAUACAGAAACAUCCCCAACCACCACUGAGGGAAGAUGAGACUCCCAUGGGGGAUAGGUGAUUAUAAUAUGGGCUGAUUGGCUUUGGAUAGCCUUGCAAUAAAGUGCCUAGUGGAAGCACUGUACUGUCUUCUCCCAUAAUAUUUCCCUCCUUUUGGGGAUCCAGGAUCCAGUAUAAAAUGGCACCCUUAAUUUGGGGGAUCAGUUUUGGCCUUCCAGCUGUGCCUCCUUAUUAGGCCCCAGAAACUGGAUGCUUUCCUGGCCUUACUCUUCCAAAGGCUCCACCCUGAAGCCAGUAAUUCAGUUCAGAAACAGGCAAAUGAAAGGCUUACAAGUGCUGAAUCUUCUGUCUGUCUUUACAUGUAUUGUGUGUGUAAUGUUUAUAUAAAAAGAGUUCUGAUUCAUUGGCUCAGAAAAAUAAGUGCUUAAAUCAAAUAUUUUAUCCAAAAAAUAAAAACUUUAAUGUAUUUUGUUCAUCUGACUUAAGUAAUUUUCUGAAAAUAAAGACAGUUUAAAAAUUGUUGGUAAAAUAAAUAUAUCUUCAAAAUUUAGACAUUUUGUCUAAAUUAAGGUGAGAUAUUAGAUUUGCUAAAUGUUUUAAGGUAACAAACUGCUUCUUUAACUUUUAAAAAUUGUUCAAUUUAUCAACUUUGGAGCAUUAGAUUCUGGAUAAGGCCUGAGGAUAUGUGAGGCUUGCCAGGCCCCAUAGCUAUGCUGAAGAGAGUCAGACUUUAUCUGCACUUCUGUCUGAUAUCCUAGGUUCCACAUGAAGUACAUAAGUAAAAUCACUUACUUAUCAGGUUUUCACCAAAAAUAAAAUUUGCUAAGAGUUAACAUUGCGACAUAUAAUUGAGACUACUGGAGAAACAGUUUUACAUACAAGGUGUGUAAGGAAAGUGUAACAUGUUUUUGGUAAAAGAUUAUAGGAAGGCAUGGAAAUAUGUCUUGUGUUAAAGGGAAUGUAAUUUUGUGUAGUUCAGAGGGUUUUAAUGAUUGUCUUAACCUAAAAGAGUACCAGGACAAAACAAGGUUUAAGCAAGGUGAAAGAGGUUUAUGAAGGGUUAGUCUUGUAAAGAAAGGGUUAGUCUUGUAAAGUCUGUGGAUAUGAACAAGUUGGCUAAGAUUUAAAGGGGAUUAUUUAAUUAUUUUCCAUAGGUUGAACAUUAAAAUAAAUGCACACUAUGCAGGGCCAGAAUCUGGUCUGGGUUCAUCUGUGCAAGUAACAGCGUUUUCUUAGAAAAUUGAUGUGCUGUUUGACAGAAAAUUAUAAAGGGUUCUAAACAGUUUAUUAAAAUCUUACCUUAUUGUCAAAUUAAUUAAAACUGGAUAGAUAUAUAAAACUUUAUUCAAGAACUAUCAUUAGCAUUAAAGAUGCACUCAUACAAACAUAAAAUUUGAUACCCUCUUUUGAAAAAUAUUUUUAUAUAAUAUUAAAAGAUAAUGAAAGGGUUUUGUUUGCCUCUUGUGUAAAUAGCAGUAAAAAAAAGGGGAGGAGAGAGAAGAGACAGAUUCAUUUGGCCUCAUGCUAUCUUCACUGGGUCUUGUUGUUUGAAAAGCUAAGUCUCCUUUAUCAAUGUAAAGGUUUUUCUUUUUUUGGAGUUAUCAUUCUGGCCAAAUAAAUGACUGAUGGUGACCUAGGAUUCUAUUUUGUAAUAUCUAGUGUUUUAAACAUUUGAUAUUUGACAAACUUUCCAAAAUCAAAUUAUGCAUUAUGUCUCUUUAUAAACUAAUCUUGUAGGUAUUAGGUCCCCUGAAGUUCAAAAAUGGCAUGUUUGGCUUAUUUUGUAUAAAAAUAAUACAGGAAGCAUUGUCAAAUAUGAAAUGGUGUUUUGGCCUUCUUUGGACUGUAUUUGUAUAAAUAUGUUGUUAAUAAGUGUUCCAAAAUUAUGAGAAACUCCUAUAAUUCUAUGACUUAGUAUAUGUUAUCAGUAAUAAUUUUAACUUUUAUGUUAAAUUAUUGUGUACCACUGAGAUAACAAAUUUACUUGGCAAUUGUAUCUUUAUCUGUGGCUGCUCUAAUAUUUUUGUAAUCCAUGGACAAUUGUCUUCUUUUGAUCCUCUUUAAAUGAUAGUUCUGUAAUUAGCUAUCAAACUCCAAUAGGUGCUGUUAAAUGAAUGUUUCUGAUUAAUAACUCUGGAGAGUGUGACAUUAGAAUAGAGGAAAAACUUUCGAAUAGAAGACUGAAGUAAUUUUUUUGACUUUUUGCUUAAAACGAUGCUGAUCCUUUUUUGUUUUCCAAAGCUAAGAAAACUUUUCUUUUGAGCUAUUUACCACUUUUAACAAAUGAGUAAAAUAUACUCAUCUGAACAAAAUUUGGAGCAUAUUUGUUUCCCUCUACCUGAUUUUUUCAGAAUUUUAAAACUAUUUUUGAGUAUUCUCAACUUAUGGCAGUAUAAUUAUUUGCAUAAGGGCAAUAAGAAUCUGUUUUCUUUUGUAACAGGACACAGUUGGAGAAACUGGUUGUUUUACCAAGGCUUUGACUGGAAUGUCAUGCUUUCUUUAAAUAAUCAAAGUUGACUUAUUGAGCCAACAAAAGCCCCUAGGGAAAUCUGCCUUCAUACCUUGUCUACACCGUCCCUAUUCAAGGUUCCUGACCUGUUGUAAGUAAAGAAUGUAACUUUCUAACAGGCUCAAGAGCCCCAAGUUAUCUUGGGACCUCAAGAGGAAUUUAUCCAACUCCUAGGUAUUUGAGGGUACAAACCUAUGGCUGGGCUCAGCUCUAAAAUGUCUUACCUGAGAUUCCUUAUGGAACAGAGUUCCAUCAAAGCCAAUUUUAAAAGCUGAUUUGAAAAAUAAUUAUUCUUUAUGCAAAUAAUCAGGCCAAGUACAAUAAGACUAAAGUUUAUUUUGUAAAUAAAUCAAUUCUAUUAUAAGUUGUUUUUAAUAAAAAUGGGGAUUGGAGAAAGAAAAUGUAAGCUUCAAAAGAAAAGCUCUAGUACAUAGGUUAUUAGCUGUUCUUGAGUUUUAUUUUUUUCCUGCAGUUCGGAGUCAAUCCUAAAUUAUUUGCCAGCUACAAGUCCCCAAACUAAUGUUUUCAAAUCUUUACUUUUAAACUAGGAAUUGCACACCUUACUCUAGUAGUCAUUAUUUACCUUAUAGUAUGCUCUUCCCUUAAAUGCAGUACUAAAACUAUAGAUGACAAUACUAAAGCCUUUGCCAUGCAAGCCUUGGAACCCCAGCCAGGACUGCAUGAGUAUAUGCAGACAGUUGCAAAGUGGUCCAUGCCUCUCACCUUGGGAUCAACAGCUAACCCCACUAUGCCCCUUGUCAGCAGGAAGAAGCCAGAGCAAUUCAUAGCCCAUAUUCACAGCCUACACCUUAAGAUUAAGGUGUUUUAAAACCCAAAAGGAGAGGUUGGAACCAACUUUGCAAAAUUAUCACUGAGACAGUGAAAGAGAUCUAACCUAACCAACUCCAUCUUGGUUCUAACCUUUAAUUGUCUUUGUUCCUUUCUGGGCACAGGCUGAAUUAACUUUGGGAGAAACUUAGUUUAAACUUUGUUUAAAACUAAUAAUAUAACAACUCUUUCCCAAAACAAACCUCUUUCUUGUCUAGGGUCUAAACUGCCUUUAUAGGACUAACAAAUUAGCCACAAGAUUAGAAAUUAUGGUUUGGGAACCAUGAAGCUGGAAACUACAAGAUUCUGACCCUCCCUAAACUGCUUCUUAGAUCAGUGCUUGAGAUAUUUUGCAGACCCUGCACUUGACAGAUCAGCUGGCACCACUCAGAUUGAUAAAUAGGCUUAUCUGAUUUUGUGGCUCCCACCCAGGAAAGGAAUCAGCACAAGAGGACAGCUUCAACUUCCCAUCAUUUCAUCUCCUACCUAAUCAAUCAGCACUCCUGGCUCACUGGCUUCCCCCUACCCACCAAGUUUUCCUUAAAAACUCUGAUCCCCUAAGGCCUGGGGAGACUGAUUUGAGUAAUAAUAAAACUCUGGUCUCCUGUACAGCCCACUGUGCAUGAAUUACUCUUUCUCUAUUGCAAUUCCCCUGUCUUGAUAAAUUGGCUCUGUCUAGGCAGUGGCAAGCUGAAUCUGCUGAAUGGUUACACAACCUUGUCUAUGGUGGAUAUUGAGUUUAACAGUUAUAACUUUGCCACUGUGUGAAAACAGAAUAUUUUAGAAACAAACAGAUUUGAGUUAUAUCCCCAGUUUUGUCUGUCAUCUAUUAGUUUUGAUAUAUUAAACAUGUUAUUUAAUUAUUUGGGCCUUUGUUUUCUCAUCUCAAGUCUGGAAUUAGUAAAACCACAUAACUCAUGAUAGUAUUCUAGAUAUUAAAUCACCUUAGGUAGUAUUUAUUUAGCAAAGUGCUAUCAUUUUUUAAAACAAAAUGUGUUAUCCCAUUUAACUUUCAUAACAAUCCUAUGACAUAUGUAUUGGCUCAUUGUUCAGGUUAAUCCAUUGAGUUUCAAAGGGCCUAAGCCAUUCCCAAGGCUAGCGUGUCAGUGAAUGGAGAAGCAUAUAUCUGGAAGGUGGCACACUCUUCCUCAGGUUUGCCCAGUUGGAGGUUAGCAAUGGUUGCCAUUCUUACAUAAAAAUAUCCAUUGUAAAAUUCAUAAUAAUAAAAGUAGUUUCAUGUAGACACUGUGUAGGGAGGUUCUAAUGAAAGAGAGAGAACCUACUUUAACAUAGCAGGGAAUAAUUAGCCACAAAGUAAAUAGCAUCUAAUUCCUCUUCUGUUUCCCACUUUAAUGUUUUAUUUUUGAAGGAAAGCUUUAAAACUACUGAUCAACAGAUAAAUUGACUUUAUCAAAAUUAUAAACUUUGAAACAUCGAAGGAUAGUCAACGGAGUAAAAGGCAAUCCACUGAAUGGGAGAAUACAUUUGCAAAUCAUAUAUCUGAUAAAGUUGAUAAAGCAUUGAUAUCAAAAAUAUAUAAAGAACUCUUAAAACUCAACAGCAACAAAACCAAACAAUCCAAUUAAAAGUGAAAAAUUCGAGUAGAUAUUUCUCAAAGAAAAUAUGCAAAUAGCCAAAGGCACAUAAAAAGAUGUUCAACAUCACUAAACAUUAGGGAAAUGCAAAUCAUACACACACCCAAAUGAGAUACACUUCACAUCUAUUAGGGUGGCUGUUAAAAAAGAAAGGAAAAACCAACCAACAUAAACAAAAUAAUGAGUGGGUUAGAAUGUAGAGAAAUGAACUGGGAUCUUUGUGCACUGCCAGCGGGAAUGUAAAAUGAUAUAUCCACGGUAGUUCCUCAAAUUUUUUUAAUUACCAUAUAAUCUGACAAUUCUACCUCUGGAUAUAUACCCAAAAAAUUUAAAUCAGGGAGCAAAAACUUGAACAGAUAUUUGUGCACAAAUGUUCAUACCAGUAUUAUUCACAACAGUCAAAAAGUGAAAGCAAUCCAAAUGUCCAAUGGACAGACAAAUGAAUAAACAAAAUGUGGUGCAAACAUACAAUGAAAUACUAAUCAGCCUUAAAAAGAAGGAAAUUCUGAUACAUAAUAUAGCAUGGGUAGACUUUGAUAACACCAUGCUAGGUGAAAUAACCCAGAGACAAAUAACAAAUAUUAUAUGAUUUCAGUUAUAUGCAGUAGUAGACUAGCCAAAUUUAUAAAGACAGAAACUAAAAUAGUGGUUCCUGGGGCUGCAGGAAGGAGAUGUAUUGUGUAAUGGGUAUACAGUUUCAGUUUGGGAUGAUAAAAACAGUCUAGAGAUAGAUAGUGAUGAUUAUUGCAUAACAAUGUGAAUGUACUUAACGCCACUAAACUGUAAAUUUAAAUGGGUUAAAAUGGUAAAUUUGAUGUUAUAU